UCGAGCGGAAACGAGUUAUCUGAACCUUCGGGGGACGAUAACGGCGUCGAGCGGCGGACGGGUGAGUAAUGCCUAGGAAAUUGCCCUGAUGUGGGGGAUAACCAUUGGAAACGAUGGCUAAUACCGCAUAAUGCCUACGGGCCAAAGAGGGGGACCUUCGGGCCUCUCGCGUCAGGAUAUGCCUAGGUGGGAUUAGCUAGUUGGUGAGGUAAUGGCUCACCAAGGCGACGAUCCCUAGCUGGUCUGAGAGGAUGAUCAGCCACACUGGAACUGAGACACGGUCCAGACUCCUACGGGAGGCAGCAGUGGGGAAUAUUGCACAAUGGGCGCAAGCCUGAUGCAGCCAUGCCGCGUGUGUGAAGAAGGCCUUCGGGUUGUAAAGCACUUUCAGUCGUGAGGAAGGUAGUGUAGUUAAUAGCUGCAUUAUUUGACGUUAGCGACAGAAGAAGCACCGGCUAACUCCGUGCCAGCAGCCGCGGUAAUACGGAGGGUGCGAGCGUUAAUCGGAAUUACUGGGCGUAAAGCGCAUGCAGGUGGUUUGUUAAGUCAGAUGUGAAAGCCCGGGGCUCAACCUCGGAAUUGCAUUUGAAACUGGCAGACUAGAGUACUGUAGAGGGGGGUAGAAUUUCAGGUGUAGCGGUGAAAUGCGUAGAGAUCUGAAGGAAUACCGGUGGCGAAGGCGGCCCCCUGGACAGAUACUGACACUCAGAUGCGAAAGCGUGGGGAGCAAACAGGAUUAGAUACCCUGGUAGUCCACGCCGUAAACGAUGUCUACUUGGAGGUUGUGGCCUUGAGCCGUGGCUUUCGGAGCUAACGCGUUAAGUAGACCGCCUGGGGAGUACGGUCGCAAGAUUAAAACUCAAAUGAAUUGACGGGGGCCCGCACAAGCGGUGGAGCAUG
rnacentral:rRNA from 1 species